GUGGGUCCCCCCUCUCUCUCCUCAGUUCAAAAAAUUGAAUGGUACCCAUUUCUCCCUCAAAAGACCCUCCUCCCCCUGUUUUGAAAAUUUUGAAAUCCGAAAUUUUGAAAUCCCUCAUCAUCGUGCUCCUUUUCUCCCAUCUGGAACAAAAUAGCUCUCUCUCUCUCUCUCUCUCUCUCUCUCUCUCUCUCCUCCCAAACCGCGAUUCCAACAACCACCAACACACCACUACCAUCUUUCCUCUCCAUUGACCUGAUUUCUCCUCCUAAACCGGUACAAUAUCUCGUCCAUCUCUCCUCCUAAACCACCAUCGGACACCACAGGCCAUCGAUCUCUCUCCCACAGAUGUUGAAGAAAUGUUGUUACAACAACCGAGUACCUGUUUGCAUGUAAUUUCAAUGGUCCAAGAAAGAAAAGUGGGUCCAGUUUGUUGAACGUUUGGAUUUGUGGUUGUGGACAAGGUCAUUUUGUGUGAUGAGAAUGUGUUCAAUUGAUAUACGCCCAAUGAUAAAUUUUGCAAUUUACUAAGCUGUUGUCGUUGUGUAUUUAAACUAAUUAUUAGUUUGCUAAUCUGUUGCCAUUGUGUAUUCAAACGAAUUAAGAUUUAAAGAGAAAUGGAGAAAUAGAUUUACUGAUCUGUUGCCUUUGGUAGCAAUUCAAGUUCCUUUGAAUCAGGGUAUGGCAUGAACUCUGAUGGGUUUAUCUUUUCUUUGGGAAAUUCAAGAUUUGUUUUUCAAGGUCUAUUCUCAAGCCAAGGCUCUAAUGCUAGUGCCGCCCAACCGAAGUCAAGCUCCGAGCCGAGGGCCAUCUACCAUCCAAGGUCCUUAAACCAGCCAAGUAUCACAGACCCAAUGGGUCUUCCAUUUGCAUCCUAAGGGAUAAACAAGAUGAACUCAGACAUCUCUUCUUUUUUUGUUGCUGAAAGUGAUGUAUUUUUUUGUAGAUGGUAUAUUAAUGAACUUUGCCAACACUUUGGUUGAGAAAAUUGCAAUUGGUGUACUAUGUAAGUGGAACAUUGGUUGGAAAACCCCGCAAUGAAUUUUGGCUUUAUCUAUUGCAUCAUUUCGAUGCUGUACAUAAGGGAUUGCAUGAGGAAAUCUUCAUUUCAUUACAACAGUCCAAAAAUUGUUCAUAUUA